rnacentral:rRNA from 1 species
AAACUUAAAGGAAUUGACGGGGGCCCGCACAAGCAGCGGAGCAUGUGGUUUAAUUCGAAGCAACGCGAAGAACCUUACCCAGACUUGACAUCUCCUGAAUUAAUCGUAAUUGAUGAAAUCCCUUCGGGGACAGGAAGACAGGUGGUGCAUGGUUGUCGUCAGCUCGUGUCGUGAGAUGUUGGGUUAAGUCCCGCAACGAGCGCAACCCUUAUCAUUAGUUGCUAACAUUAAGUUGAGCACUCUAGUGAGACUACCCGGGUUAACCGGGAGGAAGGUGGGGAUGACGUCAAAUCAUCAUGCCCCUUAUGUCUGGGGCUACACACGUGCUACAAUGGUGGGAACAGAGAGAUGCAAUACCGCAAGGUGGAGCCUAACUUCAAAACCCAUCCCAGUUCGGAUUGUAGGCUGAAACUCGCCUACAUGAAGCUGGAGUUGCUAGUAAUCGCGAAUCAGAAUGUCGCGGUGAAUACGUUCCCGGGCCUUGUACACACCGCCCGUCACACCAUGAGAGUCGGCAACACCCGAAGCCCGUGAGGUAACCUUUUGGGACCAGCGGUCGAAGGUGGGGUUGAUAAUUGGGGUGAAGUCGUAACAAGGUAGCCGUAGGAG